rnacentral:tRNA from 1 species
UCCCUGGUGGUCUGGUGGUUAAGACCUCACCUUCCAAUGUAGGGAGUGCAGGUUUGAUUCCUGCUUAGGGAG